rnacentral:rRNA from 1 species
CGAACGGGUGAGUAAUACAUCGGAACGUGUCGAGAAGAGGGGGAUAACCACCCGAAAGGGUGGCUAAUACCGCAUAAAUUCUGAGGAAGAAAGCUGGGGACCUAGGAAUAGGCCUAGCGCUUUUUGAGCGGCCGAUGUCGGAUUAGCUAGUUGGUGAGGUAAAGGCUCACCAAGGCGAAGAUCUGUAGCGGGUCUGAGAGGAUGAUACGCCACACUGGGACUGAGACACGGCCCAG